rnacentral:rRNA from 1 species
CCUACGGGAGGCAGCAGUGGGGAAUAUUGGGCAAUGGACGCAAGUCUGAACCAGCAACGCCGCGUGAAGGAAGAAGGCUCUCGGGUUUUAAACUUCUUUUAAGGGGGAAGAGCAGAAGACGGUACCCCUUGAAUAAGCCACGGCUAACUACGUGCCAGCAGCCGCGGUAAUACGUAGGUGGCAAGUGUUGUCCGGAUUUACUGGGUGUAAAGGGCGUGCAGCCGGGAAGACAAGUCAGAUGUGAAAGCCCGCGGCUCAACCGCGGAACUGCAUUUGAAACUGUUUUUCUUGAGUAUCGGAGAGGUAAUCGGAAUUCCUAGUGUAGCGGUGAAAUGCGUAGAUAUUAGGAAGAACACCAGUGGCGAAGGCAGAUUACUGGACGACAACUGACGGUGAGGCGCGAAAGCGUGGGGAGCAAACAGGAUUAGAUACCCCAGUAGUC